GGCCACGUGGCGGAGUGGUUACGCAACGGUCUGCAAAACCGUGUACCCCGGUUCAAUUCCGGGCGUGGCCUCCA
rnacentral:tRNA from 6 species